CUUCCUAUUCUGGCUGGAAUUUGGGGAACCGUAAUCCCAAUCUGGAAGGGAAGCGGAAUGACAACCUGAAGGUUUCUGUUCACCAUGCUGAGAAGUGACCUGAGGAUGAUGAUUGAUGACAAAUCAAAGGAAUGUGAUGCCUUUGGAAGAGAGAACCAGACCUCUGCCUGAGUUUUUACCCACUGAACCUGAUAAAAUUCUAUUCUCAGGAUGGCUUAUUGUUUGGAAAUUUGAAGAAGCCAUAUGAAACACUGCAAAUGUUCCUGACCUGAACCUUGCAUUACUCAACAUCAUUGAACGAUCCUGCAUUCUAAUGUUGUGGCGGAGAGUAACAAGCCUUUCAACACACCUAUAUUCUUUUUUUCAUUUUUGAAAAUGAACUGAAUACUUUCCCUGGUUAAAAGAGUUGAGAA